rnacentral:rRNA from 1 species
GUGUCAGCAGCCGCGGUAAUACGUAGGUGGCAAGCGUUGUCCGGAAUUAUUGGGCGUAAAGCGCGCGCAGGCGGUUUCUUAAGUCUGAUGUGAAAGCCCACGGCUCAACCGUGGAGGGUCAUUGGAAACUGGGAGACUUGAGUGCAGAAGAGGAGAGUGGAAUUCCACGUGUAGCGGUGAAAUGCGUAGAGAUGUGGAGGAACACCAGUGGCGAAGGCGACUCUCUGGUCUGUAACUGACGCUGAGGCGCGAAAGCGUGGGGAGCGAACAGGAUUAGAUACCCCUGUAGUCC